GACGAACGCUGGCGGCGUGCUUAACACAUGCAAGUCGAACGAAGUGGCGAACGGGUGAGUAAUACGUGGGUAACCUGCCCUCCUUUUUGGGAUAAGCCUUGGAAACGGGGUCUAAUACCUAAUAAAGGGGGAUGGGCUCGCGGCCUAUCAGCUUGUUGGUGGGGUGAUGUCCUACCAAGGCGGUGACGGGUAGCCGGCCUGAGAGGGUGACCGGCGACAUUGGGACGGAGAUACGGCCCAGACGCCGACGGGGGGCAGCAGUGGGGGAUAUUGCACAAUGGGCGAAAGACUGAUGCAGCGACGCCGCAUGGGGGAUGAAGGCUUUCGGAUUGUAAAGCUAGAUCGCUAUCAAACGGGUAGGUGAAGAAGAAGCGCCGGCUAACUACGUGCCAGCAGCCGCGGUAAUUC
rnacentral:rRNA from 1 species